rnacentral:rRNA from 1 species
AGGACGAACGCUGGCGGCGUGCCUAACACAUGCAAGUGGAGCGACGAACCAGGCUUCGGCCUGGGGCAAAGCCGCGAACGGGUGAGUAACACGUGGGUUACCUGCCCCGAUGAUCGGGACAACUCGAGGAAACUCGAGCUAAUACCGUAUGUGCCCUUCGAUCAUAAGGUCGCUGGGGAAAGGAAGCUUCGGCCUCCGCAUCGGGAUGGGCCCGCGGCCCAUUAGCUUGUUGGUGAGGUAACGGCUCACCAAGGCAACGAUGGGUAGCUGGUCUGAGAGGACGAUCAGCCACACUGGGACUGAGACACGGCCCAGACUCCUACGGGAGGCAGCAGUGGGGAAUCUUGCGCAAUGGGCGAAAGCCUGACGCAGCCAUGCCGCGUGAAUGAUGAAGGUCUUAGGAUUGUAAAAUUCUUUCAGCGGGACGAUAAUGACGGUACCCGCAGAAGAAGCCCGGCUAACUCGUGCCAGCAGCCGC